UGGGGAAUCUUGCGCAAUGGGCGAAAGCCUGACGCAGCCAUGCCGCGUGAAUGAUGAAGGUCUUAGGAUUGUAAAAUUCUUUCACCGGGGACGAUAAUGACGGUACCCGGAGAAGAAGCCCCGGCUAACUUCGUGCCAGCAGCCGCGGUAAUACGAAGGGGGCUAGCGUUGCUCGGAAUUACUGGGCGUAAAGGGAGCGUAGGCGGAUAGUUCAGUCAGAGGUGAAAGCCCAGGGCUCAACCUUGGAACUGCCUUUGAUACUGGCUAUCUUGAGUUUGGGAGAGGUGUGUGGAACUCCGAGUGUAGAGGUGAAAUUCGUAGAUAUUCGGAAGAACACCAGUGGCGAAGGCGACACACUGGCCCAAUACUGACGCUGAGGCUCGAAAGCGUGGGGAGCAAACAGGAUUAGAUACCCAGGUAGUCCCUGAGCGGGCUGGCAAGGCGCAU
rnacentral:rRNA from 1 species